rnacentral:lncRNA from 1 species
GCUUCUUCAGUUUUAUGUCCUGCUAUUGCUGAGCUCUUAAAAGGUGACAGAGCAGGAAUUAGUGUCUUUGGGAUGACAGGAAGGUGAUUUUAUGCAUAAAGAAAUUGUUAUUAUGAUCUCAAAUGGUGAAUGAGUAGUUUAUAAAUACUUUCCAAGAAUGCUAUUAAUGUUGCUCUCUGUGACCUCGCUCCCUUUUCCAAUUUCCUUCUCAUUAGAACUGUGCUCUCUUUGGAAGGAAUGGAAGU